GACGAACGCUGGCGGCGUGCUUAACACAUGCAAGUCGAACGGAGUGGCGAACGGGUGAGUAACACGUGGGUGAUCUGCCUUGCACUUCGGGAUAAGCUUGGGAAACUGGGUCUAAUACCGGAUAGUGCAAGAUGAGCUCGCGGCCUAUCAGCUUGUUGGUGGGGUAAUGGCCUACCAAGGCGUCGACGGGUAGCCGGCCUGAGCGGGUGUACGGCCACAGUGGGACUGAGAUACGGGCCAGACUCCUCCGGGAGGCAUCAGUGUGGAAUAGUGCACAAUGGGCGGAAGCGUGAUGCAGCGACGCCGGGUGGGUGAUGAAUGCCUUCGGGUUGUAACCUCCGUUCGACAGGGACGCGGUACCUGUAUAAGACGCACCGGCUAACUACGAGCCAGCAGCCGCGGUAAUAC
rnacentral:rRNA from 1 species